GAUAUGGAUGAAUGUCAGACAGGGAAUUCCCGUUGUUCACAAAAGUGCAUUAAUACUGCCGGAAGUUACAAGUGUAAUUGUGGUGAUGGCUUUGCCCUGGACAAAGAUAAUGUUUCUUGCACAGAUGUCGAUGACUGCGUUGGUGUGGUUUGUCAACAUGGCGGGCGAUGCGAUGAUAAUGUGAAUUCGUAUUUGUGUUCUUGUGCAACAGGAUAUAACGGUCGACAUUGCGAAAAAGAUAUAAACGAAUGCGAAGGAUAUUUAAAUGGUGGAUGUGAAGACAUUUGUGUAAACACUGAAGGCUCAUUCCAUUGUGCAUGUAGCGGAAAUGCCACUCUGCAAAGCAAUGGAUAUAUAUGCUCUGGU